UUAAAACUUAUUAAAGUAAAGAUAAAGCAUAAAGCUAAUUUACAAAUAUACUUAUACUCUUCUUAAACUUAAAAACUUUUGGUUGGGGCAACCGCGAAGAAAAAAAAACCUUCGCCACAAUAAUAAAAAUAAACAAAUUUAAAAGUUAAAAACCUAUAAAUGACCCAGUAAAACUGAUCAAGGGAAAAAGUUACCGUAGGGAUAACAGCGUUAUUUUCUCUGAGAGCUCAUAUUGACGAGAAAGUUUGCGACCUCGAUGUUGGAUCGGGGCAUCCCAGAGGUGCAACAGCCUCUAAAGGUGGGUCUGUUCGACCUAUAAAGCCCUACGUGAUCUGAGUUCAGACCGACGUAAGU
rnacentral:rRNA from 1 species